rnacentral:lncRNA from 1 species
ACAGUCAUGACCUUGAUAUAUAGGUUCAGAUAGUGUCCAGAUUGGAAUCCUGAUGCUAAAGACUUAGUAAGACACACACAAAAAAAGAGUUGAGAAUUACUUAGGGCUAGGGCUAUCUAGGUGCUACAAGGACAGCACAAGGACAUCUGCUGUUACAAUACAAAGCUUAUAGAGAAUUCAGAACUGCCAUUGACUCAGAUAUAAAAAGAGUGAAAGACUUUUUAGCUGACCUCCAAGAAUACCUAACCUCCCUCUCAGAGGUAGUCCUUCAAAAUAAAAAAAGAUCAGACCUGAUAUUCCUUAAAGAAGGAGUCUGUGUGCUAUACUGAAAGAAAAACGUUGCUUCUAUACAGACCAUUCAGGAGUAAUUAAAGACUCCAUAAAUAAACUUAAAAAAAGGUUAGACAAAAGACAGACAGAAAAACACAUCAGAGAUGGUUCGAGAGCUAGUUUAGUAGAUCUCCCUGGAUGACUACCCUACUCUCUGCUACAGCUGGGCCAUUAUUAAUAAUUUUCUUGGUUUUAGUUUUUGGCUCCUACAUGACAAACAGGUUAAUUGCUUUUGUUAAAAAUCGAGUGGGUGCUGUGCGGUUGAUGGUUGUGAGACAACAGUACCAGUCAGUUAGGACAACUGGUGAGACCAAAUAUGAGACUUGAUAUCAAAAUUCUAAGAUUAGAAUUAUUUAGUAGGAGAAGACGGGAAUGAAAAGAAAAUUAUACGAAUUCUAGGUUUAGAAAUAUAAAAAUUAAAAGAAUAAACCCCAAAAGGCCACAGACCCAGGGCUAAGCCCUGCAGCCAGGACUAGCAGGCCAUAAAGAUAAAGGAGCACAGGAAACACUGUCCAGGCAGGACUGGCAAGCCAUAAAGAAAAGGAAUGCAGGAACCAGCCUGAGUUAAUGGGACUGAUUCAUGGGACGUCUGGCAGAAAGACAUCUCCCCCCAGCUCACUCAGAGCCAUCCUCCAGACCCUGAUAAGCCCCUGACUUCUAACACGUACUCUUUCUGCUUUGUUCUCACUGCUAUGUUUGAAUGAGCCAAUUGUAUGUAACCACGCCAAAACCCCCUAGCCUUCUCUAUAUAACCCUCUGACUUUUGAGUUUCGAGGCCGACACCUCUGUCUCCUGUGCGGGAUAUGUGUCGGCCCGGAGAUCUCUGUAAUAGGUCUCUGUAAUAAACCUCGCCUUUGUUUAUUACAUCC